rnacentral:rRNA from 1 species
GAGCGGACAGAAGGGAGCUUGCUCCCGGAUGUUAGCGGCGGACGGGUGAGUAACACGUGGGUAACCUGCCUGUAAGACUGGGAUAACUCCGGGAAACCGGAGCUAAUACCGGAUAGUUCCUUGAACCGCAUGGUUCAAGGAUGAAAGACGGUUUCGGCUGUCACUUACAGAUGGACCCGCGGCGCAUUAGCUAGUUGGUGAGGUAACGGCUCACCAAGGCGACGAUGCGUAGCCGACCUGAGAGGGUGAUCGGCCACACUGGGACUGAGACACGGCCCAGACUCCUACGGGAGGCAGCAGUAGGGAAUCUUCCGCAAUGGACGAAAGUCUGACGGAGCAACGCCGCGUGAGUGAUGAAGGUUUUCGGAUCGUAAAGCUCUGUUGUUAGGGAAGAACAAGUGCAAGAGUAACUGCUUGCACCUUGACGGUACCUAACCAGAAAGCCACGGCUAACUACGUGCCAGCAGCCGCGGUAAUACGUAGGUGGCAAGCGUUGUCCGGAAUUAUUGGGCGUAAAGGGCUCGCAGGCGGUUUCUUAAGUCUGAUGUGAAAGCCCCCGGCUCAACCGGGGAGGGUCAUUGGAAACUGGGAAACUUGAGUGCAGAAGAGGAGAGUGGAAUUCCACGUGUAGCGGUGAAAUGCGUAGAGAUGUGGAGGAACACCAGUGGCGAAGGCGACUCUCUGGUCUGUAACUGACGCUGAGGAGCGAAAGCGUGGGGAGCGAACAGGAUUAGAUACCCUGGUAGUCCACGCCGUA